rnacentral:rRNA from 1 species
CAGCAGCCACGGUAAAACGAAGGGGGCUAGCGUUGCUCGGAAUUACUGGGCGUAAAGGGCGCGUAGGCGGACAGUUAAGUUGGGGGUGAAAGCCCGGGGCUCAACCUCGGAAUUGCCUUCAAUACUGGCUGUCUUGAGUAUGAGAGAGGUGUGUGGAACUCCGAGUGUAGAGGUGAAAUUCGUAGAUAUUCGGAAGAACACCAGUGGCGAAGGCGACACACUGGCUCAUUACUGACGCUGAGGCGCGAAAGCGUGGGGAGCAAACAGGAUUAGAUACCCCUGUAGUCCCUGUCUCUUAUAC